AAUCUUUGGAGGGAGUUGAAAGUCCGUGUUGCCCAGCGACAGCCCCAGAACAUCACUGCUCUAGAGGAGAUCUGCAUGGAGGAAUGGGCCAAAAUACCAGCAACAGUGUGUGAAAACCUUGUGAAGACUUACAGAAAACGUUUGAUCUCUGUCAUUGCCAACAAAGGGUAUAUAACAAAGUAUUGAGAUGAACUUUUGUUAUUGACCAAUUACUUAUUUUCCACCAUAUUUUGCAAAUAAAUUCUUUAAAAAUCAGAGAAUGUGAUUUUCUGGAUUUUUUUUCUCCUUUUGUCUCUCAUAGUUGAGGUAUAUCUAUGAUGAACAUUACAGGCCUCUCUCAUCUUUUUAAGUGGGAGAACUUGCACAAUUGGUGGCUGACUAAAUACUUUUUUGCCCCACUGUAGAUGUGUAAUUUUUGA